GCCCGCACAAGCGGUGGAGCAUGUGGUUUAAUUCGAUGCAACGCGAAGAACCUUACCUACUCUUGACAUCCAGAGAAUUCGCUAGAGAUAGCUUAGUGCCUUCGGGAACUCUGAGACAGGUGCUGCAUGGCUGUCGUCAGCUCGUGUUGUGAAAUGUUGGGUUAAGUCCCGCAACGAGCGCAACCCUUAUCCUUUGUUGCCAGCGCGUAAUGGUGGGAACUCAAAGGAGACUGCCGGUGAUAAACCGGAGGAAGGUGGGGAUGACGUCAAGUCAUCAUGGCCCUUACGAGUAGGGCUACACACGUGCUACAAUGGCGUAUACAAAGAGAAGCGAACUCGCGAGAGCAAGCGGACCUCAUAAAGUACGUCGUAGUCCGGAUCGGAGUCUGCAACUCGACUCCGUGAAGUCGGAAUCGCUAGUAAUCGUAGAUCAGAAUGCUACGGUGAAUACGUUCCCGGGCCUUGUACACACCGCCCGUCACACCAUGGGAGUGGGUUGCAAAAGAAGUAGGUAGC
rnacentral:rRNA from 1 species